GAUGAACGCUGGCGGCGUGCCUAAUACAUGCAAGUCGAGCGAACAGACGAGGAGCUUGCUCCUCUGACGUUAGCGGCGGACGGGUGAGUAACACGUGGAUAACCUACCUAUAAGACUGGGAUAACUUCGGGAAACCGGAGCUAAUACCGGAUAAUAUAUUGAACCGCAUGGUUCAAUAGUGAAAGACGGUUUUGCUAUCACUUAUAGAUGGAUCCGCGCCGCAUUAGCUAGUUGGUAAGGUAACGGCUUACCAAGGUAACGAUGCGUAGCCGACCUGAGAGGGUGAUCGGCCACCCUGGAACUGAGACACGGUCCAGACUCCUACGGGAGGCAGCAGUAGGGAAUCUUCCGCAAUGGGCGAAAGCCUGACGGAGCAACGCCGCGUGAGUGAUGAAGGUCUUCGGAUCGUAAAACUCUGUUAUUAGGGAAGAACAAAUGUGUAAGUAACUAUGCACGUCUUGACGGUACCUAAUCAGAAAGCCACGGCUAACUACGUG
rnacentral:rRNA from 1 species